rnacentral:rRNA from 1 species
UACCUGGUUGAUCCUGCCAGUAGUCAUAUGCUUGUUUCGAGGAUUAAGCCAUGCAAGUCUCAGAGUAAAUGGAAUAAAGUAGAUCUGCGAACAGCUCAUUAAACCAGCGAUAACCUACGCGAGAAAACUGCUUUUAGCAGACAAUUGGAUAACUUUGGUAACUACAAAGCUAACACAUGUCAGUAAAGCUUGUUUCACAUCAAACUGUGCCUCCGGGUACGGGGUGGGAUGAGCGGACAUAACCGAAAUGGAAACCAGCGCUUGCAAAAGCAGUGGUUAUUGGAUGAAUCAGGUUAUCUAUCCAGUAGCGGACGCUUCGUGUGCCGCAAGCUCGCAAGGGUUUCUGCCCCAUCAGCUUGUCGAUAGGGUAUUGGCCUAUCGUGGCUUUCACGGGUAACGGGGAAUUAGGGUUCGAUUCCGGAGAGGGAGCCUGAGAAACGGCUACCACAACUAAGGUUGGCAGCAGGCGCGUAAAUUGCCCAAUGGUAACACUUAACCGAGGCAGCGAAGAGAAAUAGCAGGAUUACUCGGCACUGCCGUGUAAUCACUGCAAUGGACGAUAUGUAAAUGUGUCGAUGAGUAUCAAUUGGAGGACAAGUCUGGUGCCAGCACCCGCGGUAAUUCCAGCUCCAAUAGCGUAUAUUAUUGCUGCUGCUGUUAAAAAGCUCGUAGUUGGAUUAAGAGUUUCACGGUGCUGUGUGGCCCAUCGUAGUCAUAUCCCCAUCGGGUUAUGGUGAAAGUGCGGAUCAAACCCACAGCAUUAAGCCGUGUGCUCUAAUAGCCCGAAACGGUUGAUGGUGGACGGCUCCUUCAUUGGGGCUGAAAGCGAUUUCGCAUUUACCUUAUGCAUAAGUCACGUCGGGCGAUGUCACUGUGAACAAACCAGCGCGUUCAAAGCAGGCUUUUGCCAGAAUGUUCGAGCAUGGAAUGACAAGGGAUCGACCAAAAUGGUCCUUUUUGUUGGUUUCUGUACCAAAAAUGGGUAACUCUGUAUACAAAGACUGGACAAGAUCCCCAAUCUUCGGGUUGGGCCUUGACCAGCUUGUAUUCAAACGGGAUCAAUAGAGACAAUCGGGGUCGUAAGUACUCGGAUGUCAGAGGUGAAAUUCUUAGAUCAUCCGAAGACUAACUUCUGCGAAAGCAUUUCGACAAGAAUGUCUUCAUUAAUCAAGAACGAGAGUGUGGGGAUCGAAGAUGAUUAGAUACCGUUGUAGUCCACGACUGUAAACAAUGCCACCUCAGGAUCGAUUUGGCUUACAUUCUGUUCCAAACGGCACUAACCCCUGAAACGAGAAAUCAAAGGUUAUGGGUUCAGGGGGGGAGUACAUUUCGCAAGGCUGAAACUUAAAGGAAUUGACGGAAUGACACCACCAGGCGUGGAGUAUGCGGCUUAAUUUGACUCAACACGGGAAAUUUUACUAGGUCAGGACAAUGUAAGGAUUGACAGGUUGAGAGCCCUUUCUAGAUCCAUUGUGUGGUGGUGCAUGGCCGCUCCUGGUUGGUGAAGUGAUUUGUCUGGUUGAUUCCGUUAACGAACGAGAUCUUGACCAAUAAAUAGGCCGCAGUGUCGACGUAGUUCUUAGCACUUCUUCGGAAGCUCGCUGGGGACAAGACAGCUGCGUCCAGCUUCUUAUUGGGACUGUGUGCGUCUUUAGCACGCGGAAGUGCAAGCCAAUAGCAGGUCUGUGAUGCUCCUAAAUGUCCUAGGCUGCACGCGCACUACACUGAUGAAGAAAACGAGUGUGAUAUAGUCCUUGUGGCUAUCCUGUUUCGAAGGAAAUGGGAAAUCUUUUAAACCUUCAUCGUGAUUAGGAUAGAAGAUUGCAAUUAUUCUCCUUGAAUGAGGAAUGCCUCGUAGGCGCAAGUCAUCAGCUUGCACUGAUUACGUUCCUGCCAUUUGUACACACCGCCCGUCGUUGCUACCGAUUGAUCUGCGGGUAGAGAUUGGCGGAUUCGAUACGCUUCUGGGUCACCGGUUCGUAUUAAAGAAACCAAUCAAUAUCCUCAGGUUAGAGGAAGCAAAAGUCGUAACAAGGUUGCUGUAGGUGAACCUGCAGAAGGAUC